ACGUUAUCAACAAAGCUCGAUGAAGCCAUACUAUCGCAGUGGAACGACCUGCUAUUUGUAGCGACUAUUAAGUGUUUACACUGCUUAAAGUCUUUUUAAGGCAAUAUGCCAGGUCCCCAUUGUUCAGUGCGGGACUGCCACAACGGUACCCGUGGGCUAAAGACAUGGACGGAAGAGUUUUGCCCUAUUCACGAGGGCAAUAAAGGAACCUCGCGCUGUAUAUGUGACCCGCCUUAUUUACUCGUCACAUUUCCUACUGAAAGAAAAGAUCCAGAACGUCGUGCCGAAUGGAUUAAAUUAGUUUCCCAGAGACUAUGGGUUGAGGAGGAAGUGGAAGUUUGUCAGCUUAGACCUGGUGUCAUUCCAUCAGUGUUUAACUUCCCGGCUCAUCUUGGAAGAGUAUGUGCCAGAAAGACCACAAACAAGCAGCCUUGAGAUGUUAGACAGCGUCUCCCUGAGGUCCCUCUCUAUCUCCCCACAUAUCCACCAACCACUGGAACACAUCUCCAAAGUUCUGCUGGGCCAGCUCAGCUUCCCCUCAGAAGAAGUGCCGCCACCUGCCAGAUGAAGGAGCCUUUUGAGAGGCAGCUGGCAUCGUGAUUGGACUGUACUUUGGUCUGUUCCAAUCCAGCUUCAGCUCCAGAGACGGCAGGCGGGACGAGUCAACGGAGGCCGGAUGGACGAAGGCAUGCAGCUGAGUACAAUCCAGAAAACAACAGAGGAGGAGUGCAGGGCCAGAACAACCAGAGUAGCACAUUAUGUCUCUUAGAAAACAUCAUAGUAGAGCCUUUGGGAUGAAAAAACGCCAUCAUAUACAUCGUAUAUUGUACAAAUAAGUCAAAGGAAAGAGACAUCAACUGUAGAAUUGUAGUAAUUGUGGACUGACUGAUUUACUGAUUAUCAGUAUUUUAUUUUUUACCGAUUUACGGUAAUAAAUACAUUUAAAAAUGGUGCUACUUUGGCUCUGAACCUUUAUCUACCUGUGGUCACUCUGUCUUCUGGAGUGAUUUGAUUGGUUAUACGUCACAAAUAAAACUCCUUUAACUUAACAUCUGUAAACAAAACAAAAAUGUAUCAACAAAGUUUUCUGUUAGAGUUUGUGUUCUUCUAAGUUUAACUCCAAGAUUUUAAAUACUUUCAUUUACUGCAAAUGAAUAUCUACUCCAAAUGUCUCACUAAUAAUAAUUAUCAGCCU
ensembl:lncRNA